GUAACACAAGAUACAUACAGUUUGAUUACCAAAUCGCUUAUGAACCUGCUCCCACAGAUACGUCCAAACUCGUGUCUCUGUGGGUCCGCAAUACCAGAUUCAAAACGCUUACUGAACAACUCUAUUCUGACCAACUCUAUUCUGACCGGAUUCUUUUCCACUAACUGGUGGACCGUUACAAAUUCUCUCGUUUGUGGGAUGAAUUUUUAACAAAUGUGAUAUCCUUUGAGUUUUUUUUUUCAGGUUACCUGCCUCCAGCCAGGGUCCUGUUACUAACUCACAUUUUUAGGGAUUACUAACCUACUGAUUUACAUUUUUUGAACUGAUUUACAUCUCUAUCUUUUCAUAGUGCUUUGUGUAGCAUGAUUAUAUUUGAUUACAAACUUAAUUUUAUUUUGUUACUAUUUCCCUUAAAGGGCCACAAGCCAAUUUGCCCUUCAUUUUCAUGAUUAUUUCUUUUAUAUAUGUGCCUUUAAUUAGUGCAGCCUGCUGAGUUUCACAUAUCAGUUAGGAUUUACUUUCUUUUAUUUGUGUUUUCACUGCAUCACGUUUUUACAUGACAUAGCGAGCAGGGUGCAGAACAUUUCUUCUUUAGAUAAUUCACAAAAGGCAUCCACAUUUUCCCAGAGGUACCCAUAAAUAGGUUUUGAUUGAUUUCUUUGAUUUGCAUCAAAUGCUAUCUAUCGUGUGGGCUGUCUCACUUUGUCUCCUUCUCCGAGCUCGUAUGGACUACAUCCCAUCAGAGGGGUCGUCUUCACCAUCCUUCAACUGGUUUCCUGUCGCAUGGGGCUUCGGUCGUGGUUCGAGAUGGGUCGAGGUCUGCGCUGGACUUCGCCUGAGGAACACAUCACCUGCCCAGCUCCGUGUGACACACGAGCUGCUUAUCCUUUGAAUACCUUUGCAUUAUUGCUGAUGAAAUUAACUGCUAUUGAAAUAGCUCUGCUUUCAAGAUUCCCUAAGUGGAUUACUUUACAAUGAUUGCAACAGUUUUGGCCUUAAUCAUCUGAUCAGGAUAUACUCCCUUCUACACGAGACCUGUGGAGACGCUUCAUCGUUCCUGCCUUCAUCUGGGAUGUCUACAUUCACGAGUACAUCACGUUAUUGUGGUUGUGACGUCAGGUGGCCUCUGUUGACCACCAUGUCGUCACAAAAAGGGGGGGUCUGUAACGUGAGGAAAUAUGGGUUUUCUGUCACAAAGGUGGUGUUGGACUCAGCUGGGUCAAAGCUGGGUCAUUGAGAACUUUCACCCACAGAUUAAGACCUGAACGCCAGCGAGUCUGGGAGGAAACCAUAACAUCUGCCACCUGCGGUACCAGAAGAAGGAGUUCUCAUGGACAAGUAGUCAUAACAAAUCAAAACAUAAAGUUUAAACUUCUUUUUCUUGAUUUUAAUGUUAAAGUAACCAUUAUCAAUUUGCUCAUUAUAAAUGUGUUUAAUCAAAUGAAUGGUUCUUAUGCUUUGGGGUAAUUAUAAUGGAUUAAUGAAUCCACACUUAAGUAGAUAAUGUUGAGAAUGUUUGGUACUGACCUUCACACACACCCACACACAUCUUCCCACAGUAAACUCCAGACACAUUUGAUGACGCACAUGUUUGCUUUGAGAAGAGAAAGGCUUUUGGUAAGUUUCAGUUUUUAUGAUAUCAGUUCGUGUUGGACAACGAAAGAGAACAGACCUGAAAACCAAAGGGGGGGCAGAGCCUGUUGGCUCGUUCUUCCCCCCUUUCGCACUGUUUCUGUCAGCCAGACAGAAUAACUGAAUCGCAACCUCUAACGCAGACUCAUUGCCGAGUCUUUUGAGUUCUGAGUGAAUUAACUUAAGAAAGCGCGUCGACAAAACGCUUUACCAUCAACGUGUACCGAGGGCAACUCUGGACCGGUUCCGUUCGACACCUACGUCUCCUGUCAGCCGUUGAGUGUCAUCUGGAUGAACCACAACAUCCUCUACGGCCCGGAUCCGAAAGAGGGUCCACAAGAGUUCGAGUCCACAUCCAGAAGUCUGGAGCCGUGUUUCACUGACAGGCUGUCUGACUAACGCCCUGAUGAGCUCAGCUGGGACAAACUGGUCUGAUGUUUAGGAACACAGAACGCUCAGAUGUUGGAGGUUCACGUCACCUACUGAGGAAGGAGACCCACCAGUAAAGAGACAGCGUCUGGUUUAGACCAAAAAUAUGGCGAUGACAUCAUGGAACUGGUCUCUGGAAAAGUUUUCCCUGAACCAACUCCGUUUCUAGAUGAGGUAGAGAAGAUCUGCAUCUCACCAACCCUCUGAUCUCAGUAUUCAGACAACGGAGGUCUCCCACUGUUAUCCAGGACCGGUUUGAAGCCCACAUACUUCCCCUCCCUCAUCAUCAGGAAACAUCAAUCCGUAUCCUGAGGACAACAGAAGACGGCAGGAGGACAGGAACUCUGAGACACCACCAGCACCGGGACCCAAAGCACCUGUGUGCACAACACCUGUUUAACUACCAAAGCAUAUUUAUUAUAUUGUUCUACUUAUUUGCUGUGAGGUUAAUAGAAAAUUUGUAUAUUAAUGUAAACAAUUUAAAAAAUCACUGAUUGUAUGUUUUCUUUUAGAUGUAAUGGUCCAAACUCCGCCUUGUAGACAUUUUUUGCAUCCUGUAGGUAAAUACACAGAACAGGUUCAGAUCCAGGAUGACCCAGCAUGCUCUUCUUCCAUUCUGGCUGUUAGGGAUUGUAUCAAUAACUCAAUGCCUACUGAUGUUUUCACCUAACGGUAUUUAUUUAGAAUGCAGGUAAGAUUUAACUAUAUUUGUUAGCAAAGCAGACUGAUCUUGGGAAUUUCACUUCAGCACUGAUGUCCACCUCUGUGUACACGUUAGAGAGAAUUACCACUUUACAGCUAAACGCACAUUUAAUAAAGACAUGGGCUACACAUUGCAGACAAUAAAAACAUAAAGUUGUAAGCAUUAAAAUUAUAAUGAUCACAUUAAAGAACAUUUGGAGAAAUGUUUUUUGUCACUAGAAUUUCAAACCUUUAAAUCAAAAUAUAACUGCUUUUAUCCAUUUUCAGGCAUUAAGA